GUGUUUAUAUAUAAGGAAUGUGGAACAGAGGAUUGGACAGAAACAGAGCAGAAAGAGGGAAAAAAGAGAUGACAGCAUUACACGUGGCAUUAAUUGAUUUCCGCAAACGUGUGGGAGUGGACAUCUUCAAACCCUAAAUGCGGCUGCCUGCCACAACUAACCCCACAUAUCGUUCGAUAAAUGCACUUGUUGAUAGAUAUUUCUUCAAUGUCUCGUGGCACUUAUUGUUUUCGACGUGGUGUCAAUUCGUUCAUAUGAAGCAAGCACGUGACAGUUCGUCCUAUUUUGAUAUUCACGAUUAGAAAACACUAAAUUUUCUCCUGUUUGAACUAUGAACACACAAGGUCAAUACAUGUGUGUCGGGUGUGCUACAGAUCUUGUUUUACCAAAUUUAAUU